rnacentral:tRNA from 1 species
GCAUUGGUGGUUCAGUAGUAGAAUUCUAGCUUGCCGUGUUGGAGGCCUGGGUUCGAUUCCCAGCCAAUGCA